AACUUUUGACAACGGAUCUCUUGGCUCUCGCAUCGAUGAAGAACGCAGCGAAUUGCGAUAAGUAAUGCGAAUUGCAGAUUUUCAGUGAAUCAUCGAAUCUUUGAACGCACAUUGCGCCCGCCAGUAUUCUGGCGGGCAUGCCUGUCCGAGCGUCAUUUCAACCCUCGGGGGCCCCUUUCCAGGGGCCACCGGUGUUGGGGAUCGCCCGCCGCUCCAGGCGGUCGUCCCCCAAAAGUAUUGGCGGUCUCGCUGUAGCCUCCUCUGCGCAGUAGCUAUUGUUCUCGCAGGCGGAGCGCGGCGCGGCCUCGCCGUUAAACCCCCAACUUUCACAAGGUUGACCUCGGAUCAGGUAGGAAUACCCGCUGAACUUAAGCAUAUCAAUAAGCGGAGGCU
rnacentral:misc_RNA from 1 species